AUUAGUGGCGAACGGGUGAGUAAUACGUGAGUAACCUACCUUUAACUCUGGGAUAAGCCUGGGAAACUGGGUCUAAUACCGGAUACGACCAAUCUCCGCAUGGGGUGUUGGUGGAAAGCGUUAUGUAGUGGUUAUAGAUGGGCUCACGGCCUAUCAGCUUGUUGGUGAGGUAACGGCUCACCAAGGCGACGACGGGUAGCCGGCCUGAGAGGGUGACCGGCCACACUGGGACUGAGACGCGGCCCAG
rnacentral:rRNA from 1 species